rnacentral:rRNA from 1 species
UACGUAGGGUGCGAGCGUUAAUCGGAAUUACUGGGCGUAAAGGCGCGUAGGCGGCCAUCUAAGUCAGACGUGAAAUCCCCCGGCUUAACCUGGGAACUGCGUCUGAUACUGGAAGGCUUGAGUAUGGGAGAGGGAUGUAGAAUUCCAGGUGUAGCGGUGAAAUGCGUAGAUAUCUGGAGGAAUACCGGUGGCGAAGGCGGCAUCCUGGACCAUUACUGACGCUGAGGCGCGAAAGCCAGGAGGCAG